CACUGUGACGGUAUNUUACCAGAAAGGGACGGCUAANUACGUGCCAGCAGCCGCGGUAAUACGUAGNUCCCGAGCGUUGUCCGGAUUUAUUGGGCGUAAAGCGAGCGCAGGCGGUUAGAUAAGUCUGAAGUUAAAGGCUGUGGCUUAACCAUAGUACGCUUUGGAAACUGUUUAACUUGAGUGCAAGAGGGGAGAGUGGAAUUCCAUGUGUAGCGGUGAAAUGCGUAGAUAUAUGGAGGAACACCGGUGGCGAAAGCGGCUCUCUGGCUUGUAACUGACGCUGAGGCUCGAAAGCGUGGGGAGCAAACAGGAUUAAAUACCCUGGUAGUCCACGCCGUAAACGAUGAGUGCUAGGUAUUAGACCCUUUCCGGGGUUUAGUGCCGCAGCUAACGCAUUAAGCACUCCGCCUGGGGAGUACGACCGCAAGGUUGAAACUCAAAGGAAUUGACGGGGGCCCGCACAAGCGGUGGAGCAUGUGGUUUAAUUCGAAGCAACGCGAAGAACCUUACCAGGUCUUGACAUCCCUCUGACCGCUCUAGAGAUAGAGCUUUCCUUCGGGACAGAGGUGACAGGUGGUGCAUGGUUGUCGUCAGCUCGUGUCGUGAGAUGUUGGGUUAAGUCCCGCAACGAGCGCAACCCCUAUUGUUAGUUGCCAUCAUUCAGUUGGGCACUCUAGCGAGACUGCCGGUAAUAAACCGGAGGAAGGUGGGGAUGACGUCAAAUCAUCAUGCCCCUUAUGACCUGGGCUACACACGUGCUACAAUGGCUGGUACAACGAGUCGCAAGCCGGUGACGGCAAGCUAAUCUCUUAAAGCCAGUCUCAGUUCGGAUUGUAGGCUGCAACUCGCCUACAUGAAGUCGGAAUCGCUAGUAAUCGCGGAUCAGCACGCCGCGGUGAAUACGUUCCCGGGCCUUGUACACACCGCCCGUCACACCACGAGAGUUUGUAACACCCGAAGUCGGUGAGGUAACCUUU
rnacentral:rRNA from 1 species